rnacentral:rRNA from 1 species
CGCAGCGAACUGCGAUAAGUAAUGUGAAUUGCAGAAUUCAGUGAACCAUCGAAUCUUUGAACGCACAUUGCGCCCGCCAGCAUUCUGGCGGGCAUGCCUGUCCGAGCGUCAUU